GACUGAAGAGAGUCAGAUGCUUCACAGCAUUUUCUUCCUUGGUCACAUUCAUAAGCUCAGAUUGACUCCUGAAAUAUUCUUCAAUACUCCUGAAAAACUUACAGAGGCAAAGGAAAUGUUUCCUCAGCCAUUUGACAUGUACAAAAGUCACUCCCUUUUCUAUUCUGCUAGACAUGAUGGAGAUCAUUCAUGGCAAUGAAGUGGACAUAUUAAAAGAGCUUCACAAACUGCUGGAGACCCUUAACUUCCCACGCCCUCUGCACAAAGCAACAAACGUGAGAGAAUUUACUCUCUGGAGUCCACAGAAAUCUGUGUGUGUUAUUCAGAUCCUGAUCCAAAAAGGUACUACGGGGCAUCUCUUUCCUGCAGAACAGGAAAUUCAAAGAAAAUUCUGAUUGACAUGUCUUGCCUUAAAACAUGGCACGAGCUUGUAUCCCAUGCCGUCAUGUCAUCUUAUCCAAAAGGUCCUGGUGAUUGUAUUAAAUUUCCUUCAUCAGUGAAAUGUCAGGCAUACAUCAGAGACUUGAAUGCUUACAAAGAAAGAGGUCCAUGCUUCAAGUGUCACCAGCUGUUUAAUCUAAAGUCCACAGACACACAUCCAGGGAGUCAUCCCUAUGGGAACUGUGCUGAGACUGAAUGCUUGAGAAAGCUACUUUUUGAAAAUCCAGGCAUACAAGAGGAAACAGAGAUGGAAAAUCACACAGAGGAAAACUUAAAGGAUCUCAGACGUUUAACAACAGCACGCUUGAAAAAGGAGCUUGAGAAGACUUUCGUCAUCAGCAUUAAAAAGACUGAGGAGAACAUUCCCUUCUACAGCCCAAUGCAACGACCUCUGGAUGACACACACGGACUUAACGUGACUACUCUUUUACUCACACGCUUCAGAGAGAUAACACCGGAACAGAAAGUGCUGAUGGACAGAACAUUUUUCGCUUAGGAGGCAUGAAGUGGUCGAAGUUUUGCCUAUCAUUGGUGAAUUUAAGAACAGAUGUCCAGCCCUCUUUAAUGAGCGAGAGGAUGUCCCCAUUAAAAAAAGACAUGAAUGCAUCCUAAAAGCCCUCGUUGUUUAUGUGAAUGUGAAAGACCCCUCAAACCUUGUGAAGGAGUACAUGGAUGUUGAACAUCAUGAAGCCCAAACCUUGAUGCACAACACCACCCUAGGCAUCUACAUCAUCAAACCUGAAGGGGCACAUGCCACAGACCCUUACCAAGAUGUUGGCAUCAUCGUUGAAGGCAUCAAAAUAGUGAGGACACGUUUGAGCUGCACUCCGAGGAACUGGAGCUGGAGGCCGUGGAGAAGCAGAUCCGAGACCUAUAGGCCCAGCACACCCAGAAAGCAGCCUGCCCAGGUGUUGUUUACUCCUGAGCUGGGAGUCUCCCCCUCCGCCACCGGUUUUCAAGGUCCCCACCCUGAACCGCUUCGCCCCCCUUCGCGAGACGGAAUGCGAUGCUGUGAUCAUCGGAGACUUCAUCGUCCUCCACGUCCGUGCUACUGUGGCUAAAGGUAAGGCUCGCACUUACUGUUUACCUGGUGCUCGUGUUCUUGGUGUCGCUGCACAGGUACCUAGGGUCGUGAGCAGGAACACCGGAGCUGUGGUUCUUCAUGCCGGCACGAACGACACCAGCCUGAGGCACUCGGAGAUCCUGAAGAGGGACUUCAACACCCUGGUGGAGACGGUUCGCAGCACAUCGCCCAUGGCGAGGAUCAUCGUGUCUGGACCGCUUCCCACAUACCAGUGCGGAAUCGAAAGGUUCAGUAGACUUUUUGCUCUAAAUGAAUGGUUACAGUCAUGGUGUCACGGUCAGAAUUUACUCUUUAUUGAUAACUGGAAUGUUUUUUGGGAGCGUCAUAGGCUGUUCCGUGUUGAUGGCCUGCACCCCAGCAGAGUUGGAGUGGAAAUCCUCUCGGACCACAUCUCCAGGGCGCUGCACACCUUCUGACUGGCAUCCAGAAAUUGCACCAGCGCCGAUCGUCUUCCGUGCGAUGAAGAUUUUGGACCUCCACUGAGUUGAGCCCGACUCUGCGAAUCCUGAGGCAUCUAGAGAUUUACCAGCUGCAGUUGGACUCUGCAAUACUAUAGAGGAGAUGUGAACUCCAUGUGAUCUUUUGCAUCAAUACAACAUUUGUCAGACUGUAUAUUUAUAAUCACACCAUCUAGUGUCACCCAUAUGAGGAUGGGUUCCUCUUUGAGUCUGGUUCUUCUCAAGGUUUCUUCCUUUACCAUCUAAGGGAGUUUUUCCUUGCCACUGCUGCCUGAGUCACCUCAGACUUGCUCAUUGGGGAUAAAUACACACAACUAAAUAUAUCUAAUAUUAAUCUUGAAUUUUGUAUUGUGUUAAUCUUUAUAUUGUUCUUUAUAUUAAACUUUUAUAUACAUAACAGACUAUAAAUAACAGACUUUUCAGCCACUUAAUUUCAUUUAUAGGCAAUGCUUUUAUUUUAAAGUGUGCUUUUAAUAAUAAGAAAAUGGAAAGCAGUUUUAAAGAUAGAUUUUGAACAAAUAAUUUUUGUUGGACAUUUGUAAAAGGUAUGUUCUUGAAUGCGUUAAAUGCAUUCACAGUGUAUUUGUUUUACUUUAAAUAGUAAGAGAAAACAGUGAGACAAUGUUUACUUAGUUUUGCACAAGAUUUUGCACAUAUUCUUGUUAAAAAUGUGUAGAAUUAAACCCUACACUAUGUUUGUUUAAGUUGCAACAGAAGAAAACAGUGAGACUGUUCAGUGUACAGAUGUUGUACAAACCUGUUAAAAAUGUGUAAAAUUUAGAAAUACACUGACU